AACGAACGCUGGCGGCAGGCUUAACACAUGCAAGUCGAACGCACCGCAAGGUGAGUGGCAGACGGGUGAGUAACACGUGGGGAUCUGCCCAAUGGUACGGAAUAGCUCCGGGAAACUGGAAUUAAUACCGUAUGUGCCCUUCGGGGGAAAGAUUUAUCGCCAUUGGAUGAACCCGCGUCGGAUUAGCUAGUUGGUGUGGUAAAGGCGCACCAAGGCGACGAUCCGUAGCUGGUCUGAGAGGAUGAUCAGCCACACUGGGACUGAGACACGGCCCAGACUCCUACGGGAGGCAGCAGUGGGGAAUAUUGGACAAUGGGCGCAAGCCUGAUCCAGCCAUGCCGCGUGAGUGAUGAAGGCCCUAGGGUUGUAAAGCUCUUUCGCCGACGAAGAUAAUGACGGUAGUCGGAGAAGAAGCCCCGGCUAACUUCGUGCCAGCCGCCGCAGUAA
rnacentral:rRNA from 1 species